GACGAACGCUGGCGGCGUGCCUAAUACAUGCAAGUCGAACGCAGUGGGGACGGGUGAGUAACACGUGGGUAACCGCGCAGCAGAGGGGAUAACACUUGGAAACAGGUGCUAAACCGAUACUGAUGGAUGGAGCCGCUGUGCAGUAGGUAGUUGGUGAGGUAACGGCUCACCAAGGCCACGAUGAAUAGCCGACCGGGGAGGAUGAUCGGCCACACUGGGACUGAGACACGGCCCAGACUCCUACGGGAGGCAGCAGUAGGGAAUCUUGGGCAAUGGGCGAAAGCCUGACCGAGCAAUGCCGCGUGAGUGAAGAAGGUUUUCGGAUCGUAAAGCACUGUUGUUAGAGAAGCGGUAUCUAACCAGGAAGCCCCGGCUAACUACGUGCCAGCCGCCGCGGUAAUAC
rnacentral:rRNA from 1 species